AGAGUUUGAUCAUGGCUCAGGAUGAACGCUGGCGGCGUGCCUAACACAUGCAAGUCGAACGAACCUAAUCUUCGGAAAGGGUUAGUGGCGCACGGGUGAGUAACACGUAGGUGACCUGCCCCGAAGUGGGGGAUAACUUCUCGAAAGAGAAGCUAAUACCGCAUAUGCUCAGCCAUUCAGUUGGUUGAGUAAAGCUCCGGCGCUUCGGGAGGGGCCUGCGUCCGAUUAGCUAGUUGGUGGGGUAAUGGCCUACCAAGGCGAUGAUCGGUAGCUGGUCUGAGAGGACGAUCAGCCACACUGGCACUGACACACGGGCCAGACUCCUACGGGAGGCAGCAGUGAGGAAUAUUGGUCAAUGGGCGAAAGCCUGAACCAGCAACGCCGCGUGAGGGAUGAAGGCCUUCGGGUCGUAAACCUCUUUUCUGGGAGAAGAGACAAGGACGGUAUCCCAGGAAUAAGUCUCGGCUAACUACGUGCCAGCAGCCGCGGUAAAACGUAGGAGGCAAGCGUUAUCCAGAUUUACUGGGCGUAAAGCGCACGCAGGCGGCUGCGUAAGUCGGACGUGAAAGCUCCUGGCUCAACUGGGAGAGGUCGUUCGAAACUGCGCGGCUUGAGGUUGGAAGAGGAGAGCGGAAUUCCCGGUGUAGUGGUGGAAUGCGUAGAUAUCGGGAGGAACACCAGUGGCGAAAGCGGCUCUCUGGUCCACACCUGACGCUCAGGUGCGAAAGCGUGGGUAGCGAACGGGAUUAGAUACCCCGGUAGUCCACGCUGUAAACGAUGCGAACUAGGUGUUGGUAGUAUUAAGCCUAUCAGUGCCGAAGCUAACGCGAUAAGUUCGCCGCCUGGGGACUACGGCCGCAAGGCUAAAACUCAAAGGAAUUGACGGGGGCCCGCACAAGCA
rnacentral:rRNA from 1 species